UUGCAGCCCGACUUGAGUGGAGCUCAUUUUUUUGUGGCUGGAAAAGCCUGGCAAAAAAAUAGCGGGAACGGAGGACGGAUUAAGC
rnacentral:misc_RNA from 1 species